UCUCAGUUCGGAUUGGAGUCUGCAACUCGACUCCAUGAAGCUGGAUUCGCUAGUAAUCGCGCAUCGGCCACGGCGCGGUGAAUACGUUCCCGGGUCUUGUACACACCGCCCGUCACACCAUGGGAGUCGGAAAUGCCCAAAGUCAGUGACCUAACCGAAAGGGAGGAGCUGCCGAAGGUGGAGCCGGUAAUGGGGUGAAGUCGUAACAAGGUACC
rnacentral:rRNA from 1 species